rnacentral:rRNA from 1 species
GCAGCAGUAAGGAAUAUUGGUCAAUGGACGCAAGUCUGAACCAGCCAUGCCGCGUGAAGGAUGAAGGUCCUCUGGAUUGUAAACUUCUUUUAUAUGGGAAGAAAUUAUCGGAUUCCUCCGAUAUUGACGGUACCAUAGGAAUAAGCACCGGCUAACUCCGUGCCAGCAGCCGCGGUAAUACGGAGGGUGCAAGCGUUAUCCGGAUUCACUGGGUUUAAAGGGUGCGUAGGAGGGCAGGUAAGUCAGUGGUGAAAUCCUCAAGCUUAACUUGAGAACUGCCGUUGAUACUAUCUGUCUUGAAUACCGUGGAGGUGAGCGGAAUAUGUCAUGUAGCGGUGAAAUGCUUAGAUAUGACAUAGAACACCAAUUGCGAAGGCAGCUCGCUACACGAAUAUUGACUCUGAGGCACGAAAGCGUGGGGAUCAAACAGGAUUAGAUAC